AUUGAACGCUGGCGGCGUGCUUAACACAUGCAAGUCGAUCGGUAACAGGUGUAGCAAUACAUGCUGACGAGAGGCGGACGGGUGAGGAAUAUUUGGGAAUCUGCCCAUCAGCGGGGGACAACCCGGGGAAACCCGGGCUAAUACCGCAUACGCUCUACGGAGGAAAGCCGGGGACCGCAAGGCCUGGCACUGAUGGAUGAGCCCAAAUCGGAUUAGCUAGUUGGCGGGGUAACGGCCCACCAAGGCGACGAUCCGUAGCUGGUCUGAGAGGACGAUCAGCCACACCGGAACUGAGACACGGUCCGGACUCCUACGGGAGGCAGCAGUGGGGAAUAUUGGACAAUGGGGGAAACCCUGAUCCAGCGACGCCGCGUGGGUGAAGAAGGCCUGCGGGUUGUAAAGCCCUUUCGGUAGGGACGAAAGCUCUUGCUCUAACAAAGCAGGAGGUUGACUUAACCUACAUAAGAAGCACCGGCUAACUCUGUG
rnacentral:rRNA from 1 species